rnacentral:rRNA from 1 species
GACGAACGCUGGCGGCGUGCUUAACACAUGCAAGUCGAACGAAGUGGCGAACGGGUGAGUAAUGCGUAAUCAACCUGCCCUUCAGAGGGGGACAACAGUUGGAAACGACUGCUAAUACCGCAUACUGAAGGAGGGGUGUGCGUCUGGUUAGCUAGUUGGAGGGGUGACGGCCCACCAAGGCGAGGAUCAGGUGCCGGGUGGGAGGGGUGAGCCACCACAUUGGGACUGGGAACCGGCCCAGACUGCUACGGGAGGGAGCCAUGGGGAAUUAUCCGCAAUGGGCGACAGUCUGACGGAGCAACGCCGCGGGAGUGAUGACGGCCUUCGGGUUGUAAAGCUCUGUUAAUCGGGACGCGGUACCGGAAGAGAAAGCCACGGCUAACUACGUGCCAGCAGCCGCGGUAAUUC